GUCUCCCUAGCUCAGUAAGUAGAGCAUGAGACUCUUAAUCUCAGGGUUGUGAGUUUGAGCCCCAUGUUGAGCA